rnacentral:rRNA from 1 species
GAUGAACGCUAGCGGCAGGCUUAAUACAUGCAAGUCGAGGGGUAACAUGGGUAGCAAUACCUGAUGACGACCGGCAAACGGGUGAGGAACACGUACGCAACUUUCUCUAAACUGGUGAAUAGCCCUCCGAAAGGAGGAUUAAUACACCGUAACUUAAUGAAGUGGCAUCACUUUAUUAAUAUAGCUCCGGCGGUUUAGGAUGGGCGUGCGCAUGAUUAGAUAGUUGGCGGGGUAACGGCCCACCAAGUCUACGAUCAUUAACUGGUGUGAGAGCACGACCAGUCACACGGGCACUGAGACACGGGCCCGACUCCUACGGGAGGCAGCAGUAAGGAAUAUUGGUCAAUGGACGAAAGUCUGAACCAGCCAUGCCGCGUGAAGGAUGAAUGCCCUCUGGGUUGUAAACUUCUUUUAUCUGGGACGAAAAAAGGUCAUUCUUGACCACUUGACGGUACCAGAGGAAUAAGCACCGGCUAACUCCGUG